rnacentral:rRNA from 1 species
UACGAAGGGUGCAAACGUUGCUCGGAAUCAUUGGGCGUAAAGCGCACGUAGGCGGCUUGCCAAGUCGGACGUGAAAUCCCUCAGCUCAACUGAGGACGUGCAUCCGAAACUGGCGAGCUUGAGUACUGAAGAGGAUCGCGGAAUUCCCGGUGUAGAGGUGAAAUUCGUAGAUAUCGGGAGGAACACCAGUGGCGAAGGCGGCCUUCUGGACCAGUACUGACGCUCAUGCACGAAAGCGUGGGGAGCAAACAGG